GAAUCUUGCGCAAUGGAGGAAACUCUGACGCAGCCACGCCGCGUGCCGGAAGACGGCCCUAUGGGUUGUAAACGGCUUUUAAAAGGGAAGAACGCCCGGGUUUCGACCUGGGGUGACGGUACCUUUUGAAUAAGCACCGGCUAACUCCGUGCCAGCAGCCGCGGUAAUACGGAGGGUGCAAGCGUUGUCCGGAAUCAUUGGGUGUAAAGGGUGCGUAGGUGGGAGCCUAAGUCUGUGGUGAAAUCUUGCCGCUUAACGGUAAAAUUGCCAUGGAUACUGGGUUUCUUGAGUACAGAAGAGGUCGGUGGAAUUCGUAGUGUAGCGGUGAAAUGCAUAGAUAUUACGAAGAACAUCAGUGGCGAAGGCGGCCGGCUGGACUGUAACUGACACUGAGGCACGAAAGCGUGGGGAGCGAACAGG
rnacentral:rRNA from 1 species